rfam:Heterocephalus glaber contig189000, whole genome shotgun sequence.
GGAUGUGAGGGUGAUCUGGCUGUGGCAUCUUCACCCCGUUGAUCACCAGGGUUGAUUUGGCUGAUCUUGCUGGCCAGGUGGGUGUCCCCUUCCUGCCUCACUGCUCUAUAUGUGUCCUUCCCGAAAUUCAGAGCUCAGUGGAAGAAGAUGACCAUCUCUGACAGAGGAGAAUCAAAAUAAUACAGCUAAUAUAUCAUUUUUAUUUUAUAAAUAUUACUUUUAAAAUUUAAUCUACUACAGGUCAUUUGUUUUAUGUUCAUGAAGUACAUAUGUAU